CCAAUUCUGAUUUGUUGCCUAUAUCUGAUUUUUUUUACCGUCUGUUUACUUGUUCUUUCAACUAUGACUCAUUUCCUUUUUCAUGUCACCUGCGAUGUUAUAAUUCCACACGCGCUUCCACCGGAGAAUAACAUUACGUCAUUAAACCACGAAGAAGUCGCAGUUUUUAUGAUGUACAGAACACAAUGCCUCAGGAAAUCCGAUCUGUCUGUUUACACGACAAUCACAUUAUCACAUAUCUGACUUUUAUCUGAUUUAUUUCCACAUAUAAAGGAGGCCUGAAACCGAUCUCAAAAUAUCGGAUAAUGCAUGCGUUUUUUCCCUGUUUACACGGACAUAGAACAUAUCCAAUAUGCGUCACAUAUGAGCAAAAAAUCUGAAUUGGGUCACAUUUACCUGACAGUGUAAACGUAGCCAAAGAGAGGUUGAAUAUCUCUGUGAACACAAGUGCUAGCUGGUCUGCGCAGGCUCUGAGGAUUUGACCUGAGAUGCCGUCUGGUCCUGUUUACUCGCCUAAAGGCUCUCCUCACAUCAUGCUCGGAGAUGAUGAACGUGUUUCCGGUGCUGGCAGUGUCUUCCUGUCUGCAGCCGUUACCGCCGCUAGCAUUAGCACCGCUAGCGUCUUUAGCUGCAGCCUCAAAUCGAGCAUAGAAGGUGUUCAGCUCGUCUGCCAGAGUCACGUCCGCGUUUGUCAUAUCCUGGAUGUUGAUGCUUUAUAGUUCGUUAUUGUUUUCAUUCCUUGCUACAGACUCCUAGUCUCACUCUGUUGAAGCUGUGACUCUAGUUUCCGUCCGUAGUGCUGCUUUGCCUCUUUCACCGCCUUCCGGAUUUUGUACGAUGCAGCCUUGUACGGGUCCAUGUCCCCCGACGCAGCGGUACAAGAACUCAGAGCGUUGGGGAUGGUUUUUAUCCACCCACGGCUUCUGGUUGGGAAACAUUCUAAUAGUCAUUUUUUUGUAUGGUAUCAUCUGCUAGUUUCCCGAUGAAUGCCACAACUGCUUCUGUAAACAUGCGGAUGUCAUCGGAGCUAUUUCAGAACAUGUCCCAGUCUGUGCCAUCGAGUGCGUCCUGUAACGCGGCCACCGAUUGACUCAUGGACAUAGAGUAUUAGGUGGUAUUAACUGGUGUGUUUAGAUGCUGUCUUCCCCAAUCUCAUUGAUCACUUAAACGGUGAGGUGAUUGUUUGCUUUUUAUCUUAGGGAGAGCUCAUGUCUGUGUUUCCUUCUGGCUCUCCCUUUUAGUUAUGCUGUUAUAGUUAGUCCUUGCCCUCUACACUAAAUAUACAUUCACAUUAUUCAUUAUGUGACUGUGAAUAUACCUAACUGUUAUCUCUCCUCUUCUGCUCUCAUCUCUUCUUUUCUCUCUCAUCCUCUCUCUCUUUCCCUUUCACUGUCGAGCUACACAUGUUGUUCCUGAGUGGCCAUUGAUCCAGACUCCACCUGCCCUCUGGACCUGUCUGACCCAUCCUGAUGCCCAGCUUCUGGUUGGAGAUCUCAUCACAUGGAUGCCCUGUGUGUCUCUUUGGGAUGCGUCCAGUGUCUGGGGAUGGUUUCACUCUACCAUGAAGACGGUUCUGGCCUUGACUGUUGACAGCUCUUUUUCUGAGGACUUGACGUGGCUGCAGUUGCAGUCACAGUUGGAAGUCUACCUGAGCCUCAAUAACUACCUUGACUCUAUCUUAACAUCAAUUAAAAUCAACUGUUAUAGCUGAAAUGGCUGCCACCUAACACAAAGUAUGAAUGCAGGACAAUUUCUGCUCUCUGUUUCACCCAAAUGAGAAUGGGUUCCCUGUUGAGUCCGGUUCCUCUCAAGGUUUCUUUCUAUUGCCAUCUAAGGUAGUUUUCCCUUGCCACUGUCGCCCUCGGCUUGCUCACCAGGGACUAUCUGACCAUUUUGAUUUAAACACAUUCACAUUCCAUACAAACAAUAAUUCUUUUGAUUGUGUAAAGCUGAUUUGCGACAAUGACAAAUGUUAAAAGCGCUAUACACAUAAAAUUGAAUUGAAUUGAAUUGAAUAUGUCCUGCACACAUUGCUCAACUUUAGUAAGCAGUUUUUUUCUCGUCUGGUUUUGCUGAGACGUAUAACUAUGUGUCAUCAACAUAACAAUAAAAACUAAUACCAUGCUUACGAAUUAUGUUGCCCAGAGUAUAUAAAGAGAAAAAAGCAGUGGGCCUAAAACUGAAUUCUGUGAAACACUGAACUCCACUUGAGAACAUGCAGAAUGGUCACCAUUUAAAUCAAACUGAUAACGAUCGGUCAAAUAGGAUCUGAGCCAGGAGAGGGCCGUUCCCUUAAUUCCUUCUACAUUUUCUCAUCUGUGAAGGAGAAUACUAUGAUCAAUGGAGUCAAAAGCUGCACUGAGGUUGAGUAACACAAGUCUAGUGACGCAACCCUGAUCAGAGGCCAAUAAAAGGUCAUUUACUACUUUAACGAGUGCUGUCUCUGUGCUGUGAUGAGGCCUAAAUCCUGACUGAUAUAGUUUGCUUAUGUAGAUAAGAACAUAGCUGCGCUACUAUCUUUUCCAUCUUAGAGAUGAAGGGGAGGUUUGAUAUCGGCCUGUAAUUGGACAGCUGACAAGAGUCAAGGUCAGGUUUCUUAAAUAGUGGUUAAAUAACUGCUAAUUUAAGGGACUUGGGAACAUACCCACUGCUGAGUGAAAAGUUAAUUAUUUUUAACAAGGGUUCUGUUAUUGCUGGUACUAUCUACUUAAAAAAAUGUGUCGGUAUAGGAUCUAAGUAUCUAGGAUCUAUAUUUUAGACACAUUAUAUUUGUCAAUACUCUUGACAUAGAUCAGAUCACAUUUUAUGAAUAAUUAAUGCAGAAAACCAUGAAAUUCGACUUGGUUCACAUGACUUUUCUUGCAACUGUAUAUUUUAAAUUUGCAUAUAUCCUCAUAUAUCCUUUACAGUACAAAGAAAUUCUUUUCUUUGCAUAUUUUGGCCAUGAUUAAGCAUUCCUAUGUUAGGGAAAUAGGGUAAAGGGACUGUCUCAAGGUUCCAACAGCAGCAGCGUGGCAGUGCAGGGGCUUGAACGGCCUGAACCCUGCAAUUAUUAACCCAGAGGCUUACUGUUUGAGCCGCCACUGUCCUAGAUCAAUAUGCAGGAGACUUUGCUUUAAAACUAUUGUAAUUUAUGAUUAAUUUCCUGUAUAUUUAUACUUCUUUCGAGAGGACAGAAUAAGGACCCAUUCAGCAAAAUGGUCCAUGAAUGCAUUAAGUUUUUUUUCAGGUGAUCUUUCAUGAACAGAAAAAUGAAACCAGCAGAGCAACUCAUCCUUGUUUAUUCUCUAUUUAAAGCUGUUUUGUGUAGAGAAUUCUCCAUCAGUCUACCAGAGAGUGUAGAAGCUCUGAGAGGACUCUGUGUUCUUAUACCCUGCAGUUUUGAGAUUCAUGAACAAUUUGAUGCAGACCUCCAGAGAGAUCCUACAGUGAUCUGGUUAAAAGACGGCACUAACAUUAACAAUAACAGAGUCUUUACCUCUAAAGAAAUUAAAGAAAGCAAGAUCGAAGGGGACAUUAUUGGAGAUAUCCGUAUGAAGAACUGCACCACCAUCUUUUACGACAUCAGAUACAGUGACAGUGGAGUUUAUUACUUUAGAAUAGAAACUUCAGGAAGCCUGAAACACAGUUAUCCUUCUGCAUCAGUAUUUGUUAAUGUGCGAGAUUCUCCAAUCAGCCCCUCAAUAAGACUGUAUAAGGAGGAUCAGGGGGAGGUGGAGGACCAAAAUGAGGUGGUGGAAGGAACUUUAGUGAGAAUCAUCUGUUCUGCUCCAUCUCCUUCAUGUCUCUUAAAGCCUCCCACUUUUACAUGGAACCUCCUGCCUGAGGAGAGAAGACAGAAGCAGAACCAUAACACCAGCUUCAGCUCCUCUCAGCUGAACUUCAAUACGACUCACCUGCAUCAUGGACUGGAUUUCACCUGCACUGCCACUUAUUGGCUCCAAAACAAGAACGUAUCAGUACAGAGCACUCUUACACUCCAUGUUCUGUAUGGUCCUAAAAGCACAUCAGUUUCAGCAUCUCCAUCUGCUUCAGUGGUUUUGGGCAGUUCAGUGUCUCUAAGUUGCAGCAGUGAUGCAAACCCAGCAGUGCUGAACUACACCUGGUACAGAGAGAACGGAGAGCAGAUAGGAACCGGAGACCAUCUCACCAUCAACACCACUGAUUCACACAGUGGUUUAUACUACUGUAGAGCUCAAAACCAGCAUGGAAAUCAGAACUCAUCUGUCUACCUGGAUGUGCAGUAUGGUCCUAGAAACACAUCAGUAUCAGCAUCUCCAUCUGCUUCAGUGGUUUUGGGCAGUUCAGUGUCUCUGAGUUGCAGCAGUGAUGCAAACCCAGCAGUGCUGAACUACACCUGGUACAGAGAGAACGGAGAGCAGAUAGGAACUGGAGACCAUCUCACCAUCAACACCACUGAUUCUACACAAAGUGGUUUAUACUACUGUAGAGCUCAAAACCAGCAUGGAGAUCACAACUCAUCUGUCUACCUGGAUGUUCAAUAUGGUCCUACAGGAAUGUCAGUGUCAGCAUCUCCAUGUUCUUCAGUGGUUACGGGCAGUUCAGUGUCUCUGAGUUGCAGCAGUGAUGCAAACCCAGAGGUUCUGAGCUACACCUGGUACAGAGAGAACGGAGAGCAGAUAGGAACCGGAGACCAUCUUACCAUCAACAUCACUGAUUUUACACACAGUGGUUUAUACUACUGUAGAGCUCAAAACCAGCAUGGAGAUCACAACUCAUCUGUCUACCUGGAUGUGCAGUAUGGGCCUGGAGACAUGUUGUUAUCAGCAUCUCCAUCUACUUCAGUGGUUUUGGGCAGGUCAGUGUCUCUGAGUUGCAGCAGUGAUGCAAACCCAGCAGUGCUGAACUACACCUGGUACAGAGAGAACGGAGAGCAGAUAGGAACCGGAAACCAUCUCACCAUCAACACCACUGAUUCUACACACAGUGGUUUAUACUACUGUAGAGCUCAAAACCAGCACGGAGAUUACAACUCUUCUGUCUCCCUGGAUGUUCAGUAUGCUCCAAGAAAGAUGUCAGUAUCAGUGUCUCCAUCAGCUUUAGUGGUUUUGGGCAGUUCAGUGUCUCUGAGUUGCAGCAGUGAUGCUAACCCAGCAGUGCUGAACUACACCUGGUACAGAGAGAACGGAGAGCAGAUAGGAACCGGAGACCAUCUCACCAUCAACAUCAUUGAUUCUACACAAAGUGGUUUAUACUACUGUAGAGCUCAAAACCAGCACGGAGAUCACAACUCAUCUGUUUACCUGGAUGUUCAAUAUGCUCCAAGAAAGAUGUCACUAUCAGUGUCUCCAUCUGCUUCAGUGGUUUUGGGCAGUUCAGUGUCUCUGCGUUGCAGCAGUGAUGCAAACCCAGCAGUGCUGAACUACACCUGGUACAGAGAGAAGGGAGAGCAGAUAGGAACUGAAAACCAUCUUACCAUUAACACCACUGAUUCUACACACAGUGGUUUAUACUACUGUAGAGCUCAAAACCAGCAUGGAGAUCACAACUCAUCUGUCUACCUGGAUGUGCAGUAUGGUCCUAGAAACACAUCAGUAUCAGCCUCUCCAUCUGCUACAAUGGUUUUGGGCAGUUCAGUGUCUCUGAGUUGCAGCAGUGAUGCAAACCCAGCAGUGCUGAACUACACCUGGUACAGAGAGAACGGAGAGCAGAUAGGAACCGGAGACCAUCUCACCAUCAACACCACUGAUUCUACACACAGUGGUUUAUACUACUGUAGAGCUCAAAACCAGCAUGGAGAUCACAACUCAUCUAGAUACCUGGAUGUACAGUAUGGUCCUAGAAACACAUCAGUAUCAGCAUCUCCAUCUGCUUCAGUGGUUUUGGGCAGUUCAGUGUCUCUAAAUUGCAGCAGUGAUGCAAACCCAGCAGUGCUGAACUACACCUGGUACAGAGAGAACGCAGAGCAGAUAGGAACCGGAAACCAUCUCACCAUCAACACCACUGAUUCUACACACAGUGGUUUAUACUACUGUAGAGCUCAAAACCAGCACGGAGAUCACAACUCAUCUGUCUACCUGGAUGUGCAGUAUGCUCCUCAGGUCUCUCCCUCCUCCAGCUGUAACAGCUCUAUGGAUUUCUUCAACUGCUCCUGUGAGGUUCAUGGAAAUCCGUCUCCUAAACUGGUGUGGCUUCUCUCGGGUCAAAUUGUCUCUAAAUCGGAUGUUAUAUCCACCAGUGAGAUGUUGACGAGCAACACAACUUUAAGAAGCUUCAUGUCCAUCCGUCCAUCAGCUAACGACACACCCACUCUGCAGUGUGUUAGCACCAACAAUCUGGGUGUCACCUCACAAGUCUUCUCCUUUAUCACCACAGUGCCCUGCUCUGCUGGAGACAGACACACUGCAGUACUUUACCUGGUUCUCUCUGUGGUUCUCCUUCUGUCUCUUGGUGUUAUUGGAUUUCUCAUCUACAAAUUAAAGCAAUUGUCCAGGAGAAUAAAAGUUCUAGAGGGAGGAGACACGUACGCUUCUCUCCAGCUCUCUGCUGUACAGAACUCUGAAUAUGAAACUCUGCAGACUAACAGAGAGGGAAGAGAAACAAAGAACAAAGACUGAAAAGUUUGACUUUUUUGUCAUGGAGAAAUCUGUUGCGGGAGUGAGUUGUGAUCUCUCUAUUCUCCUCACUCACCCUCCGUCCUUCAAAUCCUAAACAGACACACAACAAUCUGGAAACUAAUUUGAGACGAGAAGUCGAGACGUCAUAAUUUAACACAUUACCUUUGAAGUGAACUGUAUGUAAAUCAUCAACUGCCUGUGUAUCAGCUGAUUUCUACACCAGCUUUACAUCCUGAGCAGAAGAUUAAGAGGACGGACCCUUGAUCUUCUGCCUUCUUGCACAACCUACAAACUUAUACAUAUUUAUACUUUACCACAUUUAUACAUGUGUUUUAUGAAUUUGUAAAUAAAGUUGUUUAAUGUUUAAUGUUUU